rnacentral:rRNA from 1 species
CCUACGGGUGACAGCAGUGGGGAAUAUUGCACAAUGGGGGAAACCCUGAUGCAGCGACGCCGCGUGAGGGAAGAAGUAUUUCGGUAUGUAAAGCCCUAUCAGCAGGGAAGAAAAUGACGGUACGUGAUGAAUAAGCCCCGGCUAACUACGUGACGGAAGCCGCGGUUAUACGUAGGGGGCAAGCGUUAUCCGGAUGUACUGGGUGUAAAGGGAGCGUAGACGGCAGCACACGUCUGGAGUGAAAUGCCGGGGCUUAACCCCUGAACUGCUUUGGAAACUGUGCAUCUAGAGUGCAGGAGAGGUAAGUGGAAUUCCUAGUGUAGCGGUGCAAUGCGUAGAUAGUAGGAGGAACACCAGUGGCGAAGGCGGCUUACUGGACUGUAACUGACGUUGAGGCUCGAAAGCGUGGGGAGCAAACAGGAUUAGAUACCCGUGUAGUC